AUGGCGGCGGGGCCGGCGGAAGCCCUGAAAUCCUUCGAGGAGAGAGCUUCCGAUGCCGAGGCACGGUUAGCAAAGCUGGAAGCCCUGCUGCUGAACAAAGAUGGCCCCUCUGAGGCAAGUUCAUCUGCCAUGAGAGAUCUUGAGUCAAAGCUUGACGCAACCACCAAAGAAUGUCUUGCUGAGAAGGAACAGAACCGGAAGCUGACCGUGGAGAACGAGAAGCUCCAGUAUCGUGUCUCCCAUCUCAUCCGGACAAUCAAAGAGGCGGAGGCAAGAUAG
rnacentral:rRNA from 1 species